AAAAAAGCAAAUCCUGAGUUUCCGUGUCCAACUUUGACUGUCUGUCUUAUAUGAAAUUUUUUAUAAUCGUAUGUUCAUGUUGUUAGAUAAUAAAAUAUGAUUAAUAUUUUAUACGUGGCUUGUGUUUUUAAUUUUUUUUAUAAUUUUUGAAAUAAGACGAACGAGUCAAACGUUGGAUACAUAAUCCUGGUUUNGUUUUCU
rfam:Oryza sativa (indica cultivar-group) chromosome 3, whole genome shotgun sequence.